GUAGGGAAGGGAGCUGUCUGUUGCCAUCUGUUAUUGGGCAAGUGGAAAUGGCUGAACGGGCCAGGCCUCAUUUGCAUAUCUGUGAUGUGACUGUUUGGGGGAAUUCUGGUGAAAAUUCAGUUAAGUUUUAAGUUUGGGAGCAGUAAAACGUUAUCAUCCCUACUGGGUAAUGAAAGGAUAAAAGAACUGCACCUGAGACGCCCGGGGUGAGGGGUCACUCUGAGCAAAACUGCAGUCUGGCGCAGAUGGGUAGAGAAGCCUGUGCAAAGCUAGAAAGAGGUAAAAAGUGGUGAUUGUUGGUUGUAGAUUCUAUAGCCGAGAAUGUUGCUAAAAGGCAGAUAUGCUAUUAAUUUCUUUUUGAAGACUCAGGGAAGUAUGGUAGUAGAUGGAGUGAAGUGAUAUACAAUAAAGAGAGAGUUUCAAGCUGAGUAACAUUGCUGAGGUGGUUUGGGCUGAAGCAGUAGCAGCUGCCUAGCUUGAGGGACUCUGGUGAAGGCCUCCCUUACCAACAGGACCAGCAAUGAAAUCGCUUGAGCUGGAUCAGGUGAUAAGAGCUCCUGGAGCAAGUUAAGCAGCACUUCCCUUAGGGGCUGGAGAUGGACCUGCCUGAAGUUUGGACUCCGUCAACCCUGGACAACACACUGCACAUCAGAUGAAGAGGUGUUGAAACCCAUUCCAAAAUACAGUGGAAGAAGCUGUGACCACUUCCACGCUGGAAAGAAAAUGAGUAAUGCGAUCAAUUCAAAGAAUGAAUAAACGUCUGAACUUCUGAAUGCUUGUCUGAACGCUAGACUCUCUGAGCGCGUUGCAGAGCCGUUCUCACCAGUACCGAGAUAACAAAGCUGCACAGCCUUUCCCUGCCUCUCCCAUCUGCCAGCGAAGUUCCCAAUUCUAGCCACUGACCAUGUCAAAUGUUGAAAGUAUUUAUCAAGGGCCAGGCUGGGCUUGUGGAGACCUGGAAUUCGGAAUGUUAUUCUCAGGAAGUCACUAUCACUGCUGGGUCCCAAGUAACCAAAUCUCUAGACCUUGGGGGAUGUUCAGUUGGCUGGACCCAGAUCCAUUUUCUGGUGUCUGAGCCAAUUUUGCAAGUAGAAAUUUUGGCUCUGCUCCAUCUAGAUGUACAGAUAUCAUGGCGAUGGGCACCAAAUAAAUGGCUGUAAUCUGUAUAAUAAGAUUCCAGGAUUGUCUCUUGUCUGUGUGUCACUCUGAAAACUACGUUUGUUUAGUCAGUGUGAAGGGAUAGGAACAGCUAUAAGCAUGGCAGAGAGCUCUUUUUGUUCAGAAUAUCACCAGAUUCAAUCAUUGCUUGGAUUUGCAGUGUGAUACCAACCAAUUUCUAAGUUCUCUGCCAUUUUUACUUCACAAAUUACACCUGUGUGGUAGUAUAAACCAUUGUGAUAUCAGA